UUUAGCGAAUUUACCGAACAGUUCGUAUUCUCGCGGAAGUGAAACAAAAUGAAGAGUCGUAAGAUCCCAGAAAAAUUGAUUUGUGAAUUCGUUUUUUUAAUGCGGUGUGAAUGUGAUAACGUGUGCUUGAAUUUUGGACUUUUGGAAUGCCAUUUGAAUUUGAACGAAUGUAUCGGAAGAAGAAUUUUUCCACUCAUUAUCUGGUUUAUUUUUUCAUGUUCCAGAUUAUCAUUUUGCCUCUGCUUUUGAUGAAGAACGUAAACUUCGUAAACUUAUGAUAAGAAAGCAAUUCGACGAGCGAUGGAUCUCCUAAAGUAUCGUUGCCUUUAUGGAAUUUUAAAGUACGGCCAGGACAUGGAAUAUUCCAUUUUGAAGAUGAGCUUGAAACUAGAAUGGUAUGCAUACAUACAUAUGCAAAUGCGCUAUCAUGCAGUUAAUCUUCAUCUCAUCCUAAAGACGAGUGCACCGCGACCGACGACGCAGCGCGCACGCAAAAUAGAUAAGUAAAUGGAGCAGAUGUAAGAAUCUAAUGAAUAUGGAUGGAAAAUGAUGAUGGAAGUGGAGUCUGUGAGGAGAUCGCAUAAGAGUCGUUUGAAUCGGAGUUGGGAAUCAUUCGUCAGGCAUCGUAGUUCAACGAGGAUUUGAGGAUUAGUCAGCAGAAUACAGGUA